rnacentral:rRNA from 1 species
UACGAAGGGGGCUAGCGUUGUUCGGAAUUACUGGGCGUAAAGCGCGCGUAGGCGGUGUUCCAUGUCAGAGGUGAAAUCCCGGAGCUCAACUUCGGAAUUGCCUUUGAAACGGGGACGCUUGAGUCCGAGAGAGGAUGGCGGAAUUCCUAGUGUAGAGGUGAAAUUCGUAGAUAUUAGGAAGAACACCGGUGGCGAAGGCG